rnacentral:lncRNA from 1 species
CUUUAAUACAUUAUAUAGAACAUUUGAACAGAUUGUGCUUUAUGCCACUUAUAAUGCUAUUGUUUGUUCAGAAAAUAAAUUUUACUCUUAACAAGUUAGUUUUUAUUUAUGUUUCCCUUUCAAACAGGCAUCAUGUAUAAGUUAAUGUCAAGAAGACCCCUGUUGUGAUGUUGUCCUCUGAAAGAGGGAGAUAACCCUGGUUUCUUAUUGAAACUUUUCCAAACAUAAUAAUCACUUAAAUGAGUGAUUUAUAAAAAUAUUUCUAAUCACUGGUAGAAGUGAUUUUUAAAAAGUAAUGAAAGGGAAUUAACUCUAGUUUUGUUGAAAAAAUCACUUGAGAAAGUGAUUUUAAAAAUCACUUGUACAAGUAAUUCGCCUGACUGAACACAUAAAUUGUUGACAAACUAACAAAACCAUGGCAAAAAACCUGAAAACAACCAAAAGACGAACAGCGUUAUGCAAAAUACACAACAUAUACAGUAUAUAACUAAGGAAUUGUUAAACUGAAGUGAAUGGAGAGUUUAAACUAAGAACAGUAGGGCCAAAAAAAAUGUCUGUUUCCUGCUGCCAAGUCAAAUAAAUCAGGGUUGGCAGGUCAGGAUUUAAAAAAAAAAAAAAAAAAAAAUUAUUUGCACUCCCUGUCAGAUUUGCAGUCUGUUCAAUGUCAUGUUUGGUUAGGGUUAUGUUCCCCAAAAUGAUUUAAUCUCUUUAAAGUAGCUAUAAUUGACUUCUCCUCCCAGUACCGACUUUUUUAAAACCUAAAUUGUAGCACAUUUGUGCUGGGAGCAGCCAUUUCGAUUGUUUGGGCAUAGUAAGAUAUGGAUCUGGAUCGGACCGGAAACGACUUUUCCGGACAUGUACAAAUGAUGUAUGAGAAUAUAAAAUCAUAUUCUUAUUAUUUCUAUACUCAGACUCACCAAGUCUAGUGAAAAUUUGAUAAGAACCUCUCAAUUAUUUUUGAAUUUCUAGUACAUGGUAACGUGUAAAGCUACGAGAAAGCAGUCAACCUAUGUAUUUUUUUGUAUUUUCAGAAGUUAAUAAAGGAGCCAUUCGUCAGAUUGUUUGGGACUACAUAGAGAAGAAUGAUCUUGUGGAGUUUCCAAGACCAUGCUAUCGUAGAAUCCCUAAUGUUAAGGUUUGUACACAACAAAGUUUUCAGUGAAUACCAAACUCCGACCUUUCAUUUGGCUUUAGUCAUGCUAGUAAAAAUGCAAUAUAAAUCAUGUUCAUG